rnacentral:rRNA from 1 species
UACGAAGGAUCCAAGCGUUGUCCGGAUUUACUGGGUUUAAAGGGUGCGUAGGCGGACUUUUAAGUCAGUGGUGAAAGCUCGCAGCUUAACUGUGAAAUUGCCAUUGAAACUGAAAGUCUCGAGUGUGGUUGAGGUAACUGGAAUAUAUCAUGUAGCGGUGAAAUGCUUAGAUAUGAUAUAGAACACCAAUUGCGAAGGCAGGUUACUGAGCCACAACU